rnacentral:rRNA from 9 species
CGACUCUCGGCAACGGAUAUCUUGGCUCUCGCAUCGAU